rnacentral:rRNA from 1 species
GAUGAACGCUGGCGGCGUGCCUAAUACAUGCAAGUCGAGCGAACGGAAGAGAAGCUUGCUUCUCUGAUGUUAGCGGCGGACGGGUGAGUAACACGUGGAUAACCUACCUAUAAGACGGGGAUAACUUGGGGAAACCGGAGCUAAUACCGGAUAAUACGUUGAACCGCAUGGUUCAAAAGUGAAAGACGGUCUUGCUGUAUCUUAUAGAUGGAUCCUCGCUGCAUUGGGUAGUUGGUAAGGAAACGGCUUACCAAGGGAACGAUGCCUGGCCGACCUGAGAGGCGGAUCGGCCACCCUGGAACUGAGACACGGUCCAGACUCCUACGGGAGGCAGCAGUAGGGAAUCUUCCGCAGUGGUCGAAAGCCUGACGGAGCAAGCCCGCGUGUGUUGUGAAGUUCUUCGGUUCGUGAAACUCUGUUAUUAGGGAAGAACAUAUGUGUAAGGAGCUGUGCACAUCUUGACGGUACCUGCUCAGAAAGCCACGGCUAACUACGUG